rnacentral:rRNA from 1 species
CAGUCGAACGCUUCUUUUUCCACCGGAGCUUGCUCCACCGGAAAAAGAGGAGUGGCGAACGGGUGAGUAACACGUGGGUAACCUGCCCAUCAGAAGGGGAUAACACUUGGAAACAGGUGCUAAUACCGUAUAACAAUCGAAACCGCAUGGUUUUGAUUUGAAAGGCGCUUUCGGGUGUCGCUGAUGGAUGGACCCGCGGUGCAUUAGCUAGUUGGUGAGGUAACGGCUCACCAAGGCGACGAUGCAUAGCCGACCUGAGAGGGUGAUCGGCCACAUUGGGACUGAGACACGGCCCAAACUCCUACGGGAGGCAGCAGUAGGGAAUCUUCGGCAAUGGACGAAAGUCUGACCGAGCAACGCCGCGUGAGUGAAGAAGGUUUUCGGAUCGUAAAACUCUGUUGUUAGAGAAGAACAAGGAUGAGAGUAACUGUUCAUCCCUUGACGGUAUCUAACCAGAAAGCCACGGCUAACUACGUGCCAGCAGCCGCGGUAAUACGUAGGUGGCAAGCGUUGUCCGGAUUUAUUGGGCGUAAAGCGAGCGCAGGCGGUUUCUUAAGUCUGAUGUGAAAGCCCCCGGCUCAACCGGGGAGGGUCAUUGGAAACUGGGAGACUUGAGUGCAGAAGAGGAGAGUGGAAUUCCAUGUGUAGCGGUGAAAUGCGUAGAUAUAUGGAGGAACACCAGUGGCGAAGGCGGCUCUCUGGUCUGUAACUGACGCUGAGGCUCGAAAGCGUGGGGAGCAAACAGGAUUAGAUACCCUGGUAGUCCACGCCGUAAACGAUGAGUGCUAAGUGUUGGAGGGUUUCCGCCCUUCAGUGCUGCAGCUAACGCAUUAAGCACUCCGCCUGGGGAGUACGACCGCAAGGUUGAAACUCAAAGGAAUUGACGGGGGCCCGCACAAGCGGUGGAGCAUGUGGUUUAAUUCGAAGCAACGCGAAGAACCUUACCAGGUCUUGACAUCCUUUGACCACUC